GUUUCGCUGGAGCGAAGAAUCUACUUUCAAAUUUGUUUUUAAAUAUUUAGAACAUGAGUGUUUGUGGAAUGUCAAGUCCCAACAUUAUAAAAAUAAACAAAUGGAGCAAUCUGCAUAUAUGGACAUGGAACAUAUGAUGAACAUACCUGGUUUUGGCGAGAAGGAAAUUAAAUUAAAAAUCAAGAACAUCAGAUCAACUUACUCCCAAGAAUUAAAAAAAAAAUAAAAGAAACGAAAAAUUCUGGCACCGGUAUUCACAUAAUGGUUAAGUUUAUUGGAUGCUUCCCUAGGAAACAUUAACUUAGUACUGACAGAAAGUGAAAGCAACUUGAUUUCCGACAGUUCAACCACUGAUGAUGUAAAUAGCGAGAAGAAUAAAACUACUCUAGAUUCUUUUCGUCAACCGGACACUAACUCAGCACCUUCAACAAAAAAGAGAAGGAUUACCCAGCUUGUGAGUAUGAUUUGAUCAUCAUUUAAAAGAUAUAGUCGAGACUGCUAACUCGAGGGUCGAAGCUAAUGAAUUUGACAUCUUCGGUACACACGUCGCUGCCCAACUAAAAGCGUUGUCACUACUUUUGGGAUUAAAUACAUAGGAAUAUACUCAACUUCACUUAAAUAAAGUUCGACGACAAUAUCUUCAAAAUGCAUCUGAACAAAACGCCAGGACUUCAGAAUCGCUAUGUAGCAACACUUCAAUAUAUCGUAACAACAAUCAUGAUUAUUUUGAAAAACCGUCUUCACAAGCAAGUGAAUCCACAUCUCAAUUCACAUCACCUGAAUAUAAUACGGAAAAUCAGCUUUCCCCGAAUAUGGUACCAUCUGAUAAUAUGUAUACUGGUGAAAAGCAGAAAAAUACUACGAAUGACCUAAUUAUUUCAGCAAUGAGAAAUGCCGAUGUUGAUUAUCAGUAAUGAUUGGAGCAAUUAAAU